GACACAUGGAGCAUUAUGGUGACAGUGAAUACAAUCAUUGCAAAACCGUCUAUUAUAAACUCUCCCAGUCGCUUCUGUGUGUAUCCUUGGACUUUUUUUCCCCCACAAUUUGUCAAAGGCUGUUGGAGCCACGUUGAAAGCCAAGGUGAUUUUUUUUAUGUAAUUUUCACAACAUAUUUUAUGUAACAGGUUGCCAAGGCAAAUCAGCAGAAUUUCAUGUUUUCAGGGUUGUUCAGGUAGCUCAUGUUUAAACACCCAUCAAAACUAAAAAAUAUGAUCAUUUUAGAAAAAGAACUUUAUUAAUCCCUGAAAAAAAAAAUUCAAUAUCUAAAAUUUAAAAAUGUUACGUGGCAUUAAAAACUAUUUUUGAUACAAGUAAUCGGAUUGCGAUUGGAAAGUGUAUUUUUGAAUUUAGGCGUGAUAAACCUUAUUUCAUACUUAUAAGGAAGGUAUAUGCCUGUUAUUUUCACCAAGCCCCUAAACCUCAUUACUUUGUAUGUAUAAUCUUGUAGACUGUUCUUGUUUGUUGAAAAUAACAAGAACAGGAGCAUUAAAUAAAAUAAAAGUUUAGUUGAUAUUUUUAACAUCUUUAAAUGACCCACUCCAAUUAAAAUCUUGUUUUUCUUGUUGUCUACAUGUUCAUAUGGCAUUUUUCUGAUACUACAGGACAUAUCGUGAGAAAAAGCAGGAUCAGAUACAGUAAGAUUUCCUAUGUAACCAAUUCAAGCUCCGCCUCCAGAGCCCCGCUAUGCAGGCCAGGCUUGGAGAAAUAGAGAAUGAUAGCGAAACAAGCAUCUGUGUUAGCGGAUUGAAAUGCUCGUAAGAAAGCAAAUCAUGAUUUUAACUUUAAAUCGUGUCUCUAAAGACACAAGUUAGCUGAAAAGCUCCUAUAUUACCUGUUUCUUCUACUACACUGGCAAUGUUAUCAUAUCACUGAUCAUGAAAUGCUGUUUGAUGUGGUACAGGAAGAGACUGUCGAUGCAUUUGCAGUCAUGGCCUGAAGAGGGAAAUGCAGGCUGUUUAACAGAAGGUGCUAGCAGUGCUCAAUAUGUCUUUGUCUCAUGUUUGGCUAAUUGCGGCAUGGUGCCUGUGUCAGCCCUUUGGCAAGCUAUCACAUGCAGGAACACACUGGCUCAGGCUCACAGUCUCACGCAGACAUCCCCAUUAACAAGCAUGUACAUACGUAGAUGAGGUAAUGCAAAAUGAAGAAGAAGUUAACUUUUUCACAAUCCGUAGUGAUGAAUAAGCUUCUGAUGACAAUAAAAGCAACAAGUUUGUGAAAGGUUUUGGCAGGAAAAUGAAGGAAUUCCAUUUCAGGCUUGGGUUUAAUAUGAACACCGCAGCAUUUUCAGUAAAUCUCUCCCUACUGUAAUGUCUUCGUCAUCCUUAUGAAACUACUUCUUUUCAUCUUUUCACUCAUACUGCAGUGACUUCUCGAUGAGUCAAAGGAGGUGAAAAGGCCACAGUGCAACAGCGUCUUCGGAGCUGUUUCAAAUCUAGCCCGUUCAAUCACAGACCUCAUCAGCGUACGUGUUGAUGUGGGAGGCAGGCGGAAGUAAAAAACAAACCCUCUCAUUCCCAGUUAGAACAUUUUUGUCUACAGUAUACGGCCCACUCUUCCUGAGGUGAGACCUGUGUGUCUGUGGGUCACAGGGGAAAUUAUUUCUUCUUAUUUGUUAGCUGUGGUUUUUUUAUUGUGUUAGCCUUUCAAUUGGAACAUUUAUUUUUCCAUAGUGGAGCUUAAUGAGCUGCCUGGUACUGUGGCUGUGUCCACACAGGACCCAAUUAAUUCAACAUGAGGACCAUCACUCUUCUUCCCCACUCACUUUGGUAGUCUAUGUCUUUUACUCCCCUGGAACACAGGAGCAUGGAGUGAGAGAUGGUUUCAUUCAUUUUUUUCUUACCUGUUAAUUGUGGGAUGAGUAUGUCAGAGCAAAGUUUCGUUUGUGUGGGGGGAGAAUUAGAUUACUUCCUCUAGAGAUACGAAAUAGGAAAUAACAUUUAGAGUUCUUCAGUAAUUUUUUGGCCAAAGGGAUGGCAGGCGGACUUUGCGUGAGACAAGGAGAGCACCUUUUGACUGCCAGUUGCAUUUGGGCAUGUCUUAUCAGGAUAAUAAACAAGCAAAUACAAGAAGUUGUUGUUUGUGUAUUUUCUGGUGGUGUGCUCUACCAUUUGUAGAAGACCAUUCUGUGUCCCCGUUGACUACCUCUGAACCUUUCCAACUUAGUCUGAUUGGUUGAACUGCAAACGGAUGACUGGGUAUUCUCAGUCCCUCCGUUUCUUGGACAGACACCAACUGUGAGGUGUAAUGCUUGCGUUCCAGUUACUUCGGAAGUGGGAUGACACCUGAGUUGACUGCGUUCCACUUAACGAGUCGGAAAACCAAGAUAGACGCCUACAGUUACCCAUUGUUAGCUGUUGUUUACAAUUGUCAGCUGUCGUUAGCCACUGUCAGUUGUUAGCGGUUGUCAGUUGUUGUUGGCGAUACCUGUUGUAAACAACGCAUAACACAGUAUGUUACUCUACAAACACCAAAGCACCGUGUUCACAGUUGGACGUUGGGCAGUACAACAUACACCACCUAUUAAAUUUCACAAAAACAAACAGAAGUGCUACUAAAUUAUACAUUACGAGAGCUUUCACGUUUACUCUUUACUGUUGAUGCACUGCGCUGCCAUCUUGGAUUAUGAUGUUGUUGUCAAGUCAGGGUUUGUCAGGAUUGAUGGUGAGUUGGGAAUCCGACUCCAGGGGGGGCGUUCCAGAUGAAUUUCUGACUCCGAGCUUGGAAAUUCCGACUUCCAAGUACAACAGGAAUGCAGCAUUAUUACCAACCCGUACCGCUUGUGGCCUCUCACUAAGGAAGGCCAGCAACCAGUUGCACAGUGAGGUGUUGAGUCCUAGCUGGUCUAGUUUGAGGAUGAGAUAUUGUGGGAUGAUAGUGUUGAAUGUGGAACUGAAAUCUAAGAACAGCAUUCAUACAUAUGAGUCCUUAGUGACCAGGGGCCUCAUGUAUCAACGCUUGCGGCGCAAGAAAACCUUGCGUACGCCAAAAUCGGCGCACACGUCCAGAUUUAUCAUCGCGAAAGCGUCGGUUCCAGCGCUAAUCAACGCAAAGUCAGGAGGUGGUGUAGAAAUUGGCGUUGAGCUGGAUAUUUGCGUUGACUGUGAUUCGCACUUUGGCGACGCUGUGUGGCGGUGUUUGGUGACUCACUAUGUGACAAGCGUGCACCACAUCCCCGUGGCCGGGCAGCACAUCGCCCCACAUGACGAACCAGCAGCAGACGGAGGGAUGCGAGCUGAUCCCUGCCGGACCGCCGUCCUCGCGCGGGAGAAUCUCAUCGCCACAGUGUGAAUGGGUAAGAAGUGAAUACACAGUUCAAUGAGCCAAAUUAAUUUAUUUUCUCCACCAGACGCUCGAGGAAAUUUACGAGCCGGUCCAGCCGCUCUUUGAUCCCCGCGAUCCCCCUGAUGAUUUCUUCCUGCGAUUGCAGGACCCCCUCCGCGAGGACCCUUCCACUGCGUCCGGGUGGU